UUCAUCUCUCUACAUACCAAAUUUAGGGUUCCAAUUACAAACCUCUGUGUAGGAAAAAUCAGACAGUAACAUGUCUGCAGAUGAUCCGCGUGCGUGUUGCCAUAGCGACAAAUCGGAUGAUAAUGGUGGAAGCAUGAGGUAUGAAACGAUGUUGUAUCGGCUAUGUUCUUCUUCUGUAGUUAUUUGAAACGCAUAUGAAAUUGUUAUUGUUAUGCAUUACCAAACAUGUUCUCGUAUGGUUCAAUUUUCUACUCCUCCAAUUUUGUAAUAACACGAUAAUGUUUAAAUAUAAUCUGAGUUUUCCAGAUUCCAAAAAUAAAAUUUUAUUUUCGAUAUUAGGGUUCAAUUUGGGACGAUAACGGGUGAAGAAUGAGGUGUGAAGCAGAUAUGAUUUUAUCGUUAUUCUUCUACUGUAAUGUUUUUUUGCACAACUGAUAUUGAAUUUGUCUCAUCUAACCGAUUCAUGUUCAUUUAGGAUUCGCUUUCUACUCAAUUUGAUUGCCAAAAAUAUGAAUAUGUUCUUAUGAAAUUUGAGCAAUUCUAUAUCCCAAUUUGUAGUUGAAUUUUCAAAUUUAGAAUUUCAGUUAUUUUACUCAAUAAAUCAGUUAAUUACAUCUUAAAUAGAGUGAUACUUAUAAGAAAUUGUAUAUGUUUUAAAUGUUGACAAUAGAUGUUGAUGAUAGAAUAUGAUUAUGGAUGCUGGUAAUUGAUGUAAAACUUUUAAGAAGUUGUAGAGAUUAUUCAUGCUGAUUAUAUAUGUUGCUUGUAGAUAUUAUAAUUUAUGAUUAUACAUGUUGAUUAUAAAUGUUGGUCUGUAAAGAUUAUAUAUUAGAAUUUAUAAUUCGGUAUUAAUAUCACAUUGCUGAUGUCAUUUAUAAUUUUUGAAUUUCAACAAUGAAACUGCAAUGGAGAUCAUCAGAGGUAUGGUGUCUGAGAUUGGUGAAUGUUCAGUUAAGAGAAAGAAGUGUGUGAAGAAAUGUCGUACUAGUAAUAUCCCUGCUAUAAAACUGCGAAUAUCGCUCAACUUACCAAUGUUGCUGCUGCUGUAAAUCAACCCACAAAUAAUGGAAAACUGACAUUCAGUAUAUUAAGGAAGAAGUUGUUGAUACUGCAAAUGCUAAAAGAUUUAUGAUGGACAAAGAAACGCAUGUCGAAAAGUGUGUUGCAAAGAAAAAACAUGUUGGCAAUAAGAAAUUGGUGGAUAAGAAAGAUGUUAAUAGAUUUAUGAAGGAGAAGAAAAUGCAUGUUGAAAAGUGUGUUGAAAAGAAAAAAUAUGUUGGCAAGAAGAAAUCUGUUGGAAAAUCUGUGGAUAAGAAAGGUAAACAAAAAUUUGUAGAGAACGCAUGAGUCUUAAAUUAAGUUACUGAAGAAUUGGUCAUGUGGGCUAAGCAAUAUUCUUGGAAGAGCCACAUAGGAAAUGAAAAAACAUGCGCAGCUAAUGUUAUAGUAAGCACAUAUUUGAAUUUGAUCUAUUGUGUUAUAUUUCAAGGGUUUAUAACUUGUAGUGUUGUGCAAUUGAUAUCUAUGUAGCAUUUUCCAAGAACAAUAACAAAAAUAUGCCUUAGAACACGUUGAUGUAGAAGAAACCGAAAUAUUUAAAUGUCGGGUUCACACUGCAAAAAUAGAGAACGAACUAAGAGCCUAUGAAAAUGUCUUUAGGAUGGUAUGAAUUUGCAAAGAGCAAAAACCUAUGUGAUGGCGAUACCUUAGUCUGGAGUAUGUUGCAUUUUUCUCCCAACGUGUAUGUAAAAUUACAGAGGAGUUGAUGGGCAGUUGUAAUAUCGAAUUUUGAGUAUAUGAUCAUCAUGACAUGGAGUUCUAACCUGCUGUGGAUCGUGUUUUAUAGUUUAUAUAUAUAUAUAUAUAAACUUUGAUGUAAUUUUGGAAUGCCUGAACCAAAUUAUAAUUAGUACCUUAAUGAUAUUGAUAUUUAUGUAUUCUGAUAGUAAACUUGGUAAUUUUAAUGUAGAAGUUGCAUUAUGUGUUUCAUUUCAUGUAAAUAUGUAUUUUACAUGUUACAUUUAUAAUUUUGGUGAUUUGAAGUUUAACAAACAAAAAAUUUAAAUGAGUUAGUUUGGCAAACAGACAAUACAUAUGUUAUCACCUAUAAAUAUAUCAAUACAUAUUGCAUAUGAUGUCUGUUAUAGAACUGUUUUUAAGGGGUACUGUAUUUCUCAAACUCAUUAGUUGAGCCUGCAGCUGAAAUCCAUGUCUAAGCUCGUUUACAUUUUUCUAUAUAAUGUAAGGAUUAAGGUAUUCAUGUCAUCACUUUUCUAUCAUUGGAACUAUAGAAAGGAAGCUAUGUUUGACAACAUCUCUGAAAUGUAUGCUUCUGGCAGGUAUGUAUGACUUUCAUGUCAUCAAUCUUCUAUCAUUAGAACUAAGAUUGAUUUUUUCUGAAAAUUCACCUGUUACAAAUAUCUUACUCCAAUUAAUCAUAGUUGAAAUUUAAUUUUAUUUGUAAUUAUAGUAAAUCGAAUUAUUAAUGUUAUUACAACUAUAGUAAUGAAGACAUGUGGGCACAUGUAUUCAAGUGAUGAGGAUACAAAAAUUGAAGCUCUAAUAAAGGAGGGUUGGAUUAAUGAGUCCGAAAAAACAUGUGAUGUUAGCAACAAUUGCAAGUGGGAUUAUACCGUGACGGAAGGAAAUAAGUAUGGGAAAUAUAUGUUGCAUAUCCCAAUGAACAUGUCAAAGUAAUAUUUUGGUGAAAAGCAGGAUGUGAUAAAGAUGAUCGAUAUUGAAGAUUGGAAGGUUAUAAUUGUAUUAUUCACAGAGCACGACAAGAUUCAUAUGAGAAGAAUAUUGUCCAUGAAUGGUACGAAUUUUCCAAAGAGAGGAAGCUUGAAGUCGGGGAUGUGUUAUAUUUUAGCAUGAGUCCUAUGGCAAGUUAUAUGCUUGUUAAUGUAAUAAGGGGUUGAUUUAUGUUGUUCCAUUUGAAAUAUUUCAAUGCAAGUAACUAUUCCGAGAGAAUUUUAGCUUCAAAGUUGUUAUAAGUACAAAUUGUUAUUGUAUUGAUCAGUAUAAGCAACUCAUUUGUUUUGAUGCAACAGUAGUAUGCAAUGUGAUAUGGUUUAGUUGCUGAUGUU